AGUGAACGCUGGCGGCAGGCCUAACACAUGCAAGUCGAACGGCAGCACGGCAGUAGCAAUACUGUGGGUGGCGAGUGGCGGACGGGUGAGGAAUACAUCGGGAUCUACCCUGUUGUGGGGGAUAACGUAGGGAAACUUACGCUAAUACCGCAUAAGAACUGAGGUUGAAAGCGGCGGACCGCAAGGCGUCGCGCGAUUGGAUGAACCGAUGUCCGAUUAGCUAGUUGGCGGGGUAAAGGCCCACCAAGGCGACGAUCGGUAGCUGGUCUGAGAGGACGACCAGCCACACUGGAACUGAGACACGGUCCAGACUCUUACGGGAGGCAGCAGUGGGGAAUAUUGGGACAAUGGGCGCAAGCCUGAUCCAGCCAUGCCGCGUGGGUGAAGAAGGCC
rnacentral:rRNA from 1 species